ensembl:lncRNA
CACCUUCAAUCUCAUGUUAAUCGCAUUAGCCUACUUUAGCUCAAUCGACCCAACGAUCCUGAAGAAGUUAAAGCCAUCAUCAACAGCAGCGUGGAAGAAUGGAAGAACAGUCUAGCUUACUACUGUACAGUUCCCAUUCAUUUGAUCUACUAAGUGGAGUGUGACAGUGGGGGCACCUUUCCAUCCCUUUCCUGCUCCUUCAGUAAUCAAGGUAUUUAUCUUAAGUCUACUAGCUACAUGGCCUGGUUUUGUGGUUGUGUCCAUUUGUGUGGCUCUCACUAACUCCAUGGUGUUGAAUCCACUCAAUGGGUAAGUUGUGUGUGUGUACUGCUUCUGCAAACUUUACAUUAUGGCCAGCCAGGCAUCCAGCUUAGGAUGCUCCUCCAUUGUUCAUGAAUUCACUCACAAACACACAAACACUCAACGUGUACAUGGUCAUCCACCUGAACUCAACCCUGUUGGUGCUGUCCUCUAUUGAGUUGAACCUGUCCUUUAUUGAAGCUGGGUUGUGUUCAUUAGUGCACACAUCAUAACAAAAUGUGUUGCAACCAAGGGGAAAAAAGCUUUUAAUAUUGCACAAGUUCAGAUAGUUUUCUACUUUCUGUUUCUCAGUGUUUCUUCUGUGUUGUGCCUUAUGAACAUUACCCCGUCCUUUACUGACUUCUUCUCUGUAGUGGCCUGUUGUUGUUAUUGUUGUAUUGACCAUGUUGUCUUCUGUUGAUAUUUCCCCAGCGGCCUGGCUGCUUUGGGCCGGGCUGUGAGGUGGUGGUGGUGGUCUCUGGGGGCUGGUCUAGGCGGAGAGGUAGAGGCAGGAGGAGCCUGCAGUGGCUGUGGGUGUUGCCCAUGUCAAGCCACGCCCGGGGCCUGGCGGGGGCUGAGUACAUAACAGCUGAGCUGGACUGCUCUGCCCUCCCUACAGACUCUGGUAGGAGGCAGCCAAGCAACGGCAACAGACCCAGGAACAGGUGAAGAAUGGAUGAAGGGGGACGACACACAGAGAGACACACGCAUGGCUGGGGUACAGUACUGUCCUACAACAAGCAGACUUAACAUCCCCUAACUAAACACACACAUGGCUGGGGUACAGUACUGUCCUACAACAAGCAGACUUAACAUCCCCUAACUAAACACACACAUGGCUGGGGUACAGUACUGUCCUACAACAAGCAGACUUAACAUCCC